CUUAGAGGUAAACGAGUGGAGCCGAAGGUGUUGUAUAGAAUUCAGUUAAUUGUGUUUUGUACGUAGAUUAGCAGCAUUUUAAUGGGAGUUGUUAGUUUAUUGUUACGGAAUGUGAUUAACGCAUUUUUUAUAUAACUUUACUGCGACCAAUAGAGUUGAUUUUCUGUAGUAAUUUUGAAGGUGAUCAAUUCUUCGGAAUUGGUUUUAUAGCUCAAUUACAUGGUUAAUCAAUGUAUUGUUAAUUGCGAUUGGCUAAUUUUAAUGAGUUUCGAUUCGAAUUGUUUAUUUAUAGACUAAAAUUAGACUGUUUUUAAGCAUUUCAAGUCUUGAUUUAUUAAAGGGUUAAUCUAAAGUCAGCAGUCAUUAUGUAGGUUACCUACUUGUCCCGUCUUGAAACACGGACCAAGGAGUUUUAUAUGAUCGCGAGUCAAAGGGCUUUACGAAACCCCAGGGCGCAAUUAAUGUAAAGAUUCACUUUAGUGAAUUGCAAUGUGACCUAGCUGUAAAAGGCUUGAGCAACAUUGACCCGUCUAAAGAUGUUCGCAUCUGGGCGGAGUUUGAGCGAUCAUGUAGAGACCCGAAAGAUGGUGAACUAUGCUUGUGCAGGUUGAAGUCAGAGGAAACCCUGAUGGAAGACCGCCGCGGUUCUGACGUGCAAAUCGAUCGUCGGACAUGAGUAUAGGGGCGAAAGACUAAUCGAACCAUCUAGUAGCUGGUUCCCUCCGAAGUUUCCCUCAGGAUAGCUGGCAUUUGUUGUCGUAGUUUUACCUGGUAAAGCGAAUGAUUAGAAGUAUUGGGGACGAAAUGUCCUCAACUUAUUCUCAAACUUUAAAUGGGUUCGAAGUGCAUCUCUCUUUAUUGGAGAUGUACAUGGAAUACGAAUGCCUAGUGGGCCAUUUUUGGUAAGCAGAACUGGCGAUGUGGGAUGAACCAAACAUUUGGUUAAGGUGCCUAACACCACGCUCAUGAGAACCCACAAAAGGUGUUGGUUGAUAAAGACAGCAGGACGGUGGACAUGGAAGUUGUCAUCCGCUAAGGAGUGUGUAACAACUCACCUGCCGAAUCAACCAGCCCUGAAA
rnacentral:rRNA from 1 species